AAAGGGGAGAGAAAAAUUCUGAUUAAGUUCCCAUUUAAUAUCUCAAGUCAGCCACUUCCCAUUCCUCCCUUUCCAUGCGCCUAGGUGGUGCAAAAAGCUAGCUUUACUUGUUGCAAUAUACAACCUCACUCAGCCUUUUUCUACAUGCAACCAAUAGGUGCAUAGGAGUCACCUUGCAUGUCCCUUCAUUGGGCAGAAUUGCCUCCCUCUCUUGCUCUCUUUUGUGCGCCCAAAUGUAAGAGAAGAAUUCAAAUUAAAUUUCCUGACCUUGCUUGUUAUAAUAUCAGCCUUCCAGCCUCAUUCCUACACCAUUCCAAGCGCUGUUGGUGAGUGUUGAAUUGGAGGGGUUGCUUCGUUAAAACAGAUUCAUUCUAGCCACAUAUUCCCCUCUAUCUUUUCCAUCUUGUGAGCACCUUUGAAGAAGAAGAACCUUGAACUCUGGUUUCCCUUGUUGAAAUAAACCUCAGCCGCAUGCUUCCCUCUCUUUCCUCUUGAAACCGUAGCACAAAUAGAGAGUGAAGACCAAGAAAUAAUUUCACGUUCCUCCUAUGUCCUCGUCUCAAACCGUGGACUCCUAGUGAAGACCCAACAUAAGGCUUUCGUAUUCUUCUCCCUUGCUCAGCCGAAGUCCUUAACUCAAUGAGGUAUUAAGUCAAGUUAAUCUGUUCUGUCCUCAUUUUAUUUUCGUGCGCACGGUCAUCAGCGUGAGGAGUAAAGCUUGCUGUUUUGGUGGAGCUAAGGGACUGAGGUGUUGUUCUCUGUCUUGUUCGACUUUCCUUGUGUGCUUGCAAUAGAGGUGCGCAUACUUUGUGAGACCUUGGAUCAGUUAGCUGCUGCCUGGUAAAUUAAUGGUGACAUGUGAGAUGACGUUCGUGAGACGGACAUUGAUAAAGGCAAGAGGUCGGCAUAGAGAUUUUAUUAUUUUUAUGAGCCAUGCAUAUUAUGAUUAUUCAGUUUUCCAUGAGGAGACUCUAUUGUGACUAGAUUUGAUGGAUUGUGUUGUUAUUUGUGAUGAGCAUAGGGGUUGUAUAUGCCACUAUUAAAUAAUAUGUUUAUUUGU